rnacentral:rRNA from 1 species
UACGAAGGGGGCUAGCGUUGCUCGGAAUCACUGGGCGUAAAGCGCACGUAGGCGGAUCUUUAAGUCAGGGGUGAAAUCCCAAGGCUCAACCUUGGAACUGCCUUUGAUACUGGGGAUCUCGAGUCCGGAAGAGGUGAGUGGAACUGCGAGUGUAGAGGUGAAAUUCGUAGAUAUUCGCAAGAACACCAGUGGUGAAGGCGGCUCACUGGUCCGGUACUGACGCUGAGGUGCGAAAGCGUGGGGAGCAAACAGGG